rnacentral:rRNA from 1 species
AUGGCGGUGGGCCGUGCUCUGGAGGCGCAGCUCUGUGUCCCGCCGCACCAUCUGCGCGUGACGGCGCACAACCAAGAGGACUUCUUCGUCAUCUUCACGCAGCCGGCCCACCACGACAACGCGGUCCGCCGCGGCUCCCUGCGUGUCGACGGCGCCAACUUCGCCAUCGCGCCGUGGGGGGGGGAUGACUAUGCUGGCCACGGCACCUUCAACCUCCACGUGCGCUGCGUCAUCGAGCAUCUACCUCAGCAGUACUGGACGCUGGAAGGCGUCCAAGAAGUCUUCGGCGACAAGGUGCUAGUGGAUCGGCUCGACAGCCGCACCCUGGAGCGCGACCACACCAAGACGUUCGCUUGCUGGGUGUGGGUUUGGGACAUGUCGUUCAUCCCCACCCGGCACACGUACUGGAAGCUGCCCCAGGGCGCCGGUCGGGUGGAGGAGAUGGACGGGUUCUCGCCGCCGGAACGCCGCGUCGCCCUCCCGCCCGGCGCGGAGCGCUAUGACUUGCUCAUCCAUGUCGACCGAGUCGAGGACUGGUCCCCCCGCUCCCCCAAGUCGUCGCACUCUGCUCAAAGCGGCCUGCCCUCCUCCGACUCCGACAACGACCUGCCCCGAACCAUCCCCGGCACCUGGAUCAUGCACGUCGAGGACGGCCAACCCAUGGAGCCCCAUCGCCGCUAG